GACGAACGCUGGCGGCGUGCUUAACACAUGCAAGUCGAGCGGUAAGGCCCUUUCGGGGGUACGACGAGCGGCGAACGGGUGAGUAACACGUGGGUGACCUGCCCUCCAGCUCUGGGAUAAGCCCGGGAAACUGGGUCUAAUACUGGAUAUGACUCCAUGACGCAUGUUGUGGGGUGGAAAGCCUUGUGCGGCUGAGGAUGGGCCCGCGGCCUAUCAGCUUGUU
rnacentral:rRNA from 1 species